rnacentral:rRNA from 1 species
AUGGCUCAGGACGAACGCUGGCGGCGUGCCUAACACAUGCAAGUCGAGCGAUGAAACCUUCGGGGUGGAUUAGCGGCGGACGGGUGAGUAACACGUGGGUAACCUGCCUCAAAGAGGGGGAUAGCCUCCCGAAAGGAGAUUAAUACCGCAUAACAUUAUUUCUUCGCAUGAAGAGAUAAUCAAAGGAGUAAUCCGCUUUGAGAUGGACCCGCGGCGCAUUAGCUAGUUGGUGAGGUAAUGGCUCACCAAGGCAACGAUGCGUAGCCGACCUGAGAGGGUGAUCGGCCACAUUGGAACUGAGAUACGGUCCAGACUCCUACGGGAGGCAGCAGUGGGGAAUAUUGCGCAAUGGGGGAAACCCUGACGCCAGCAACGCCGCGUGGGUGAAGAAGGCCUUCGGGUUGUAAAGCUCUGUCUUCUGGGACGAUAAUGACGGUACCAGAGGAGGAAGCCACGGCUAACUACGUGCCAGCCGCAGC